GGCAUUUGAUCCUCUUCUUCAUCUUCGCCAUUCCCUGUGAAAGGACAGUCAAAUGAUUAUCGAUUGCUAAAAGCUGUAAUCGAACCGGUGGUGAAUUUCUAUAUCGACAUCUCUAUAUCUGCUUACGUGCUUUCUUACCGCGCUUACGAAAAUACCACAAAAUGCCGCUAUACCAAGCACAUUGAAUACGGAUGACCCAACGAUAGUUCCCACUCCGAUAUCUCCUUUGGUGACGCAUGUGCCCACGAUGGACACAAAGAGCUCUGGUGCCGAGGUUGCAGCCGCCAAAAAUGUUGCCCCAGCAACAUCAUAUGACAUUCGCAUUCCUGUGAUUAAUGGUGUGACGAAGUGUUUUCAGGUUUGCACAUUUCUAUUGCCUACUUUUCUGCGUUUGUGUCUGAAGGAGUCUGUGAAAUUAUUUUGCUGAAAUGCUUAUCUAAAGAACUUCCGACAUUCCUGUUGUUAUGGUAUCUACAAAGUCCUACUGUCGUUAAACCAAGAGAUCAUUGGAUGCCUUCAGAAAGCUCUAGAACAAAUUCAGCUCAAGGAUGAGCACUAUUGGACUAAUAAUAUCAAUAGUUUGCUUCUU